UUUUAGUAAUUACCAGAGUUCAUCUUGCAUCUCUAUGUUGCAUCUUUUAUACGGUUCCCCUCCAUGUAAUUUCCGUAAUUUGAUGCUACUACUUUUAAUCUAUUGAAAGUAGUUUGCAUCUCUACUUUUAUUUGCUGGCUACAAAAAUUGAAACGAUUUUUAUAAUCUGACUUUUUGUGUUAAAUUUUGUUGCAGGAUAUGGGCUUCAGUCUCUUUGACUAAGUUGAGUGUUGGUAUAAAGAACUCCCUUCUGAAGUUGUCGUGCUUUAGUUUGGCGUAGAAGGUUGAAGAGCUUACUCCAGGAACAAAUGGAGGGAGUAGAACAAAGAAUGGGGAGAGGAUAACAUUGAAAGCACUGAGUUUUUGGAGGGGUCUUGAUAAAUUCCUUAGUAGCCUACUUGUACUAGCUGUUGUGGCCUUGUGGGUGAUGAUAAGGUUAAGGCUAAGACCAUCUUUGGUGUAGUAGUAGUAGUUGUUGUUCUGUAUUCCUAUAACAAUAAUUAUAUAGAGCAAAUGAUGUUUUUCUUUAAAUGGCAAUCUCUGUUUAUUGUAAUGUACAUUGGGUAGUUAUGUUGUUUUAUCCUUCUUGCUGUUGAUCCAAGUGGUUUACCAUAAUCUUGUACAUUGGGUAGAGCGUGUAUAUAUAGAAAAGACAGGGCUACUCAAACCACAAUCCCCAAUUCAAGCUUCUUUAACUGUUCUACAGUAUGAUUGUCAAGACGAUUUAAGUAGGAAU
rnacentral:lncRNA from 1 species